rnacentral:ncRNA from 2 species
UUCUUAUCCAGAGCGGUGGAGGGAAAGGCCCGAAGAAGCCCGGCAACCAGCGAGGGAGAAAACCGAGCAUGGUGCCAACUCCUUCUGCACCAAGUCUGGUGCAGGAAGAUAAGAA